UACGUAGGGUGCGAGCGUUAAUCGGAAUUACUGGGCGUAAAGCGUGCGCAGGCGGUUUUGUAAGCCAGAUGUGAAAUCCCCGGGCUUAACCUGGGAAUGGCGUCCGAAACUAUGGGACUGGAGUGUGGCAGAGGGAGGUGGAAUUCCACGUGUAGCGGUGAAAUGCGUAGAGAUGUGGAGGAACACCGAUGGCGAAGGCAGCCUCCUGGGCCAACACUGACGCUCAUGCACGAAAGCGUGGGGAGCAAACAGG
rnacentral:rRNA from 1 species